AUUGAACGCUGGCGGCAUGUCUUACACAUGCAAGUCGAACGGCAGCGGGGGAGAAGCUUGCUUUUCCUGCCGGCGAGUGGCGAACGGGUGAGUAAUACAUCGGAACGUGCCCCGUAGUGGGGGAUAACUAGUCGAAAGAUUAGCUAAUACCGCAUACGACCUGAGGGUGAAAGUGGGGGACCGCAAGGCCUCAUGCUAUAGGAGCGGCCGAUGUCUGAUUAGCUAGUUGGUGGGGUAAAGGCCUACCAAGGCGACGAUCAGUAGCUGGUCUGAGAGGACGAUCAGCCACACUGGGACUGAGACACGGCCCAGACUCCUACGGGAGGCAGCAGUGGGGAAUUUUGGACAAUGGGCGAAAGCCUGAUCCAGCAAUGCCGCGUGUGUGAAGAAGGCCUUCGGGUUGUAAAGCACUUUUGUCCGGAAAGAAAUGGCUCUGGUUAAUACCUGGGGUCGAUGACGGUACCGGAAGAAUAAGGACCGGCUAACUACGUGCCAGCCGCCGCCGUAA
rnacentral:rRNA from 1 species